AUUUUUCAGUGUUUAAUGAAGAUGGAAACAACAGAAUGUUAAAUGAAGAUGUCAACAAUAGAAAUGCUGUCAUAAUAGGUGUAGUUAUUGGAAUUGUAGGAUUGGUAAUCAUAGUCGUCGUUAUUUUUCUCAUAAAGCGAAGAUCAAUUUGCCAGACUUUCCAGCACACGUCACAACAAAGGCGUCCAUCAGUGGUUGAAAAUGACAAUGAAUUAUACCAAAUUUCACACUGAAUACAGAAUUUUUGAACGUUAACUUAGUUAAAUUCCUGUGCAUCUGUUCAUUGAUACGAUGGUGUAAAAAUGAAAUGCUGUGUGUAAUGGGUAUAUUUCCUUAAUAAGACCAACAAGUAGAAGAGGAGCAGAUUUGCGUAUCUAUUUAUAAUAGUUAAUUGAAUACUGAUGUUUUUUUCUUACUUUUAUUUUUAUUGUCAUCUGAUGAA